CCUACGGGUGGCAGCAGUGGGGAAUCUUGCACAAUGGGGGAAACCCUGAUGCAGCGACGCCGCGUGAGUGAAGAAGUAAUUCGUUAUGUAAAGCUCUAUCAUCAGGGAAGAAAAUGCCGGUACCUGAGUAAGCAGCCCCGGCUAACUACGUGCCAGCAGCCGCGGGAAUACGAAGGGGGCAAGCGUGAUCCGGAUUUACUGGGGGUAAAGGGAGCGUAGACGGGAGUGCAUGUCUGGAGUGAAAGGCGGGGGCUAAACCCCGGGAGGGCUCUGGAAACUGUACGGCUGGAGUGCAGGAGAGGUAAGUGGAAGUCCGAGUGUAGCGGUGAAAUGCGUAGAGAUUAGGAGGAACACCAGUGGCGAAGGCGGCUUUCUGGACUGUAACUGACGCUGAGGCUCGAAAGCGUGGGGAGCAAACAGGAUUAGAUACCCCAGUAGUC
rnacentral:rRNA from 1 species